ACGCCUGGAAAACGCUCUUCUGAGAGGAUCUGUGGAGGUCAACCCAGGAGAGAGAAGACAGGACUGAAGCACUGAAAGGGUCCUGCCGUUAAGGGCGCAGGAUUGUAUAGAAUAUAUAAUAGCAGUAGCAGCUCUGUUUACGGAGCAUUAACCUUACGUGGAGUUAUUUCCUGCAUUUCCUCCUUUCGUCUUUACAAGGUAGCCGUUUGGCGUCGUGAGAGAUUGGGUCUCUCCACAUUGCCCCGGCUGCUCUCCAACCCCUGAGUUCAAGUGAUUCACCUCCCUUGGCCUCCCAAAGUACUGGGAUUACAGGCGUGAGCCACCGUGCCUGGCUGAGAAGAUGGAUUUAAGACAUAUUUUGGAGGUAACAUUGUCAGGACUUCCUGAAGGAUUAGAUGUGGAAGGGAAGGAUAAGAAACAGACCAAGGAUAACUUUCAAAUGUAUGCUUAAGCAACUGGAUGGAUAAUGAUGCCAUUGAGUGAGUGAAAAACUUGAUGGAAGUGGAAGAUUCAGAGUUCAUUUCUAUCUAGGUUAAUUUGAGACAUACCAGAGCAUAAGUUAAGUAAGUAAUUGAAUAUUGGAGUGGAGACUUAUUUGUCUACCGAAUUAUUGUUUUCUUUGUCGGACAUACACCUACACUGCAUUCCUCAAAGUAAAAUUUAAGUGUGGCUCUGUGCCUAUGCUCUCCCCAGCGGAAAGUGACCAGAAGAGGUGUGCAGUUUCCAGGCCUGGCCCAUACAGACCUCCAACAGGUGCUCCCCUGUGCUGUUACUCCUUCUGCCAACUGGAAGCAGAUGGUGACCAGGCUCUGGAGAAGGCAAGGCCUGAAGAUGGGAGAUUCCUAAGUGGAGGAGAACUGUGCCUUACUGACCUAAAUAUCCACUCAGUAUUGUUAUGUGAGAAUAAAUAAACUUGUGUUGACCGUUUAC
rnacentral:lncRNA from 10 species